rnacentral:tRNA from 1 species
GGGGCCAUAGCUCAGUUGGUAGAGCAUCUGCCUUACAAGCAGAGGGUCGGGGGUUCGAACUCCUCAGCCUCCA